AUUGAACGCUGGCGGCAGGCCUAACACAUGCAAGUCGAGCGAGCGGCGGACGGGUGAGUAAUGUAUGUGGACUGCCCGCUAGAGGGGGAUAACUACUGGAAACGGUGGCUAAUCCCGCAUACUAUCGGAUAACCCAUAGGGGAUUAGCUAGUAGGUGGGGUGAAGGCUCACCUAGGCGACGAUCUCUAGCUGGUCUGAGAGGAUGAUCAGCCACACGGGGACUGAGACACGGCCCAGACUCCCACGGAGGAAGCAGUGGAGCAUAUGGCGCAAUUGGAGAAAGCGUGAUGCAGCCAUGCAGCGUGUAUGAAGAAGGCCUUAGGGUUGUAAAGUAGUAUCAGCGGGGAGGCGUUACCCGCAGAAGAAGCGCCGGCUAACUCCGUGCCAGCAGCCGCGGUAAUAC
rnacentral:rRNA from 1 species